CGAGGCCAGGAGUUUUGAGACCAGCCUGACCAACGUGGAAGAGAAUGAUCAUGAAGGGCAAAUGGCAGUGAAGCAAGAAGAGCUGGCUUCAGGCUCCGAAGAGAAUGCUGUGCCUCUUCCUCAUGGUUUCCAGUGCCCUGCAUGUUCAGAGAAACUUCUGUAGUAAUGAAGGAACUAUAGAAAUGAUCCCUGAAAA